AACGCAACGAGGCGGGACCUCUCUGAACGCCGCUAACACGGAAGGCAGGCGGCAGCUCCACUCAGACAGGAAUGGACGUUUCGGUGAGCCUCGGGCAAAGCGGAUCACCGGCACGCGACCUGUGCAGGAGGUCCUGCAGCCUCUCGAUGUAGCUGAUGGCGCUCCUCAGGAUCUCCACCUUGGGCAGCCGCUGGUUGGGGUUGGCCACAGUCCGCCUUUUCAGCGCCUCGAAGGCUUCGUUGAUCUUCUUCAGCCGCCUCCUCUCCCGCAGGGUGGCCGCUUUCCGCCUGUCCGUGGGGGCCGACUUUCUCUUGCAGGUUUUACAAGCCCAGAUCAAACACUGGCCGGGGCAGUGAGGGGGCUGCAGGCCCGGGGGGGCCAGCACAUGCUCCUCGCCGCUGCUGUCGCUGCCGGCCUCUGGCGGCAUUUGGUCCUGACAGGGGGACAAAGUGCCGUCGCUGCCUGGGUACAGCGGGGAACCCUCCGCCAUCUCCAGCUGCUGCAGGGCUCCAUUCUCCCCGUCCAAGUAGAAGAAAUAGGAGCCAGUUUCGAAAAGGGCCUGGCAAGACUUCCAGGGCUUCCUGGCCCCGGAGACAGAAACGCAGCUUGUGAUCACUCUCUGUUAGCAUAUACUGUAAUGUCACAUCAUGUCUAGGCCUCUCUCACCUCACGGAAGGUAAGCUAUGGGAAAAUGUCCUGUCUGCUUCUUUCUCUGGGCUGCCUUGCUCUCCUUAAUCACAUGCAAUUUCUCUCUGCUUAUAUAAAUAUAUAUAUAUAUAUUAUAUAUAUAUAUAUAUAUAUAUAUUAUAUUUAUCUAAAUAAAACAUAUAUAGCCCUGGAAUACCAGGGCAUCUCUCAAAGUUAGCUUCUGACUUCUUUCUGAAAGGAACUGUGGCAUUCUUGUUCCAUUCUUAAAAGCUGCAGUUACCUUGAUUAAUGGCAUGACUUUCUCCAAAACUGAUUGCAAACCAGUUUUUAUGAGUACAAAUAUAUUAUGGAGUAGCUGAAAUUUUGUUUUGACCAAAUCAGUAUUGCUGAAAUGGAUCUCAUUUCAGUUUUAAUUAGGCAGUACACAAUCCAUUUUUGAACGAGACAGAGAAAUUCAACCUGUUUUCAGUGAAACUAAUUUUGAUAUUAAUAUUCCAGAACUGAGGUAUUUUUUUCACUUUGUAGUAGCCUUACAGUUAAGGAGCUGAACAUAAGACACAGUUUCCUCGCUCUGUACUUAGUUUGCUGUUUGACCUUUGACCAGUCAUUUAAUUUCCCUGUGAUUUAAUUUUCUACCUUUAAAAAGGGAUAUGUCAGCCUUUACCCAUCCCUUGCAUUUCUCAUGUUGCCCCUUGCCAUUAUGUGCUUUUCAGUACCAAAGGGAUGUUUUUCCCAUACUGGUAAUGACAGUGGUAAUAAAAAAAUAAUAAUGUCUGCUGAUUGCUUAAAACUUUUCACCUUUACUACAGUUAUUAUUUUUUCUUUUAAUCAUUAGUUUCUUUGCUGCUGCUCUGGUGGUGUUUGGAACAAGACAGAAAAGAACAAUCUACUGGUGAGCGGUAUCAAUAACCAGUGGGGAUCAGGCAUAACUGUUCCUGUUUAGCACUCUGAAUGGGCACCUAGGGUGCUCUCAGCAUGUGUCAUCUGGAUUUUGUUCCAAGGAAACUAAGCGGGAAAGUACCCUAAAAAGUGAAGUGGAUGCUAGGUCAUCAGCACUAUUAAUUUCUACAGAUCUGAUCCUGAUGUACCUAUACUAUCUGCUAAUCUACUGAUAGUCACAGUUCACUGCAAAGGAACUUGACUGUCAUUCAUGGAAAAAUAACUCCUGCUGCUGGAAUGAAGCAUGCCAGACUCCAUGGCCUGUGGUAUGUAGGCACACUGCUUUUCUGAACUCAAUUUUCUAAGUUAUAUGAACUCCAGAGUGGUCUGCAGCAGCAUGGAACAUGGAGCAGCUUUAAGUCCUGAUUUUCAUUUAUAUAUGUUGUUAUACUUCCAGCUGACUUUUGCUUACUUAGAUUCUAUUAUUUACUGUACUCUCUUCAAAUUCUAUUUUUCCAAGGAAAUUAUAUUAUUUGGAUAUCCACAAUGUCACGUGUACUCACUGCAAAUUUGGGAACUGACUAGAGGAAGUGCGUGUAGUCUGCAUGCUGGUGCUUGUGCAUAAGUAUAUGGCCAUUUCAGAGAACAUGUAAACAAGCAUCCCUGAAAUGCAAGUUUGGCAAGUGGAGUAGUGAAUCGUAAUGCAUGCUGUGGGGCUAGAAAGUCAGUAAGAUAGAGAUAUGAAAAAGACUACUUCAUAUAAUUAUACAGUCUCUGUAGGGGAAGAUUUAAAAAAAAAAAAAGUCUUAUUCACAGUGGCCUUGGCUCUAUUGCUGUUCCAAAUCACUGCUGUUUUCCUUUGAUUGGAUAUGGACUUUAGUGUUCAUAUCAGUUACAGUCCUGUUAGUAUCUGAGAGGUGCAACCUUGCUAACUAAACAGACUCCUCUGGUUCAAGAUGGUAAGGUAGGAUUUCAUUACAGCUCUCAUGUUGGGCAGUUAUGAGACACAGUUCUAAAUGGCAGAUGCUUUAAUGCCUGUGUCAGGGUCUACAGUGACAAAUAGUCACCACUGCACAAACACAUUUAUUUUACUACAAGACGUUUUCCUGGGGAGGAGGCAUUGCCAAUCAGAAACCAGAAGCCCAUUGCACUGUUGCUGGCUGGGACAGGCAUUUUCCGUGGUUCUAUCCUGGGAUUCUUUGCAGGAAAGAAAGCAAUAAAAAUUAUAGUCAUCUUCUACUUUUGAUUAGGAAAAAAAAAAAAAAAAGGAGGGGAGGGGGGGGACUUGAAAUUUGACAAGAGUCCAAGACACAUCACGUGCUUUAUAAUAGUAUUUUUUGCUAUAACAUUUUUUUUUUGUAAGUACAGGAAAGAUCAUUUUAUAGUUAUAUACUUAUUUAUUUGUUUAGACUAUAAGCAGAAAGUGCAUUUUCACAUUAUACAGUUUCAGAAUGUAAUGACAAUGAUAUCUAAACUCAGUCAAAAGGACAAUAAUUAAACCAUAGAUAAUUAAAAUAAAUACAAUUUUUAAUUCUGUAAGUGAAAGUAAAGAAAAGCUUGUAGGAGAAUCAGUGUCUUCAGUCCAGCACUUAGACUAAUCAUAUCCCUGCUGCCUAUGGACAGAAAGAGAGCUUAGUGUUCAGGCAGUGGAAAAAAGCAGCUUUCUUUUCUGAAGCUCAUAAGAGAUUUUGGCAGAACCACAGCACUUCGUGGUAAAAUGGGAUGACAGUGCCCUGGAGUCUGGAAACCAUGAAGGUACAAUGGAAGUUAUGGAUGUACAGAGCUCUCUUCCCAGCAAUAACAUAGGGAUUGUUUAAAACAGUACAUCACAAAGCCACCAAGUGUUUAUGCUGAAUGAUCACCUUCUAUACACGAAUUGCAUUAAACAGUUUCAUUAUCUAUCGCCAAAUUUUUUUUUGGGUUCCUGGUAUAGACCCUUUGACAUAUGGAUGUACCAGUACAAUGAGCCAUUUGAUUAGAGAUACAUAGCACUGGAUAACUAAGAUAAAGUUAGUAAGCUGUAGUCACAUGUAGGCAUUACUGGGUCUUGACUUAUUUCCUGGUGCUGCAUUAAUAUACUCAGUUAUUCCAUGCACUUGUGGAUUUAAAAUGCAGAAACAACUGAUAUGAGAAUCUCCUGAGAUCCCUUUCUAAAAUGUAAAUAAUGUGUUGGAAGUAAUGCAAUCCUUUCAUUGUCCCAUAGAUUUCCUUGUUCAUCAUAGAAUCAUAGAAUACCCUGAGUUGGAAGGGACCCAUAAGGAUCAUCAAGUCCAACUCCUACAGUAUACAUUUUCUCUGUUGUCUAUAAUUUCAAUUUUUUUUUUCCAUUAUAUUUUCAACAUUGUUCUGCUUUUGUGGACAAACAAUUUAGCUCAUAAUUUGGAAGAAUUGUUGAUUUAUCCAUGAUUUGUAUUUUGAACAUUCUGCAUGAUUUAUACUUUGAGAUUUUUUCUCUGUGAAUCAUCAUUAUCUCUUUUUCUUUCCACUACCCACAUUACAGCCAACUGAACAAAUAAAGCUUGUCUCAUAUACAUUGUUAUGGCUUGCUUGAGAUCCUUUGGGUGACAUGUCAUCAAUCUUUCCAUAAUAUAUGAUGAAAAAUCCAUCCUGCAGUCUACUAACAGUCAAGGUCAUUAUGGUAAAGAAAUUGACAGUGUGAGAAACCUUACGUGGACUUCUACAGUUCUUAUCAAGGAAAUCCGUUUUCAUUAUUAUAAGAGAAUUAGCAUUAUCAGCAUUCAAAGUAUUGAUGUCAUCAGUGCCAUUAGUGAAGAAUGAACAAGAAGGAUUGCCAACUAAUUAAGAACUAACUAAUUGAACUUGUUUCUGGAGAAGAGAGGUCCCUGAAGGUUCUGGAUCAUCAGUGUUGCUCCAUUUGGAUCCAAAAGUGAAGUUAAUAGUAAAUUGACUAGGAAAGAAGAAGAAAAAAUCCACCAAUAACAACAAAAAACAACAGAAUUUCACACACUUCCAGCUUCAUGGAACACGGGGUGGAUGGUAAUCAGUGUGGUCUAUUUUACUGAAAAAUUAAUAUGCCCAAGAGCCACAAGUGCUUCGAGUAUGCAGACAAGCCAGAGAGAAGCUUACAUUUGGAAAGGCUCGCAUGCAGGAUAUGGCAAUGGUUGCCCUAAUAUCUCACUGCCCCUUUGUGACCAGGACUGGGCUGAGUGUCCAGGCUAUUUUGAAGGUGUUGGCCUCAACGACUUCCACUGGCUCACUUCCUCCCAGAGUCAGGGGUUUGGAUUACGCAGCCAUGCCAGCAGACCAGCCAUGUGAUACAUCUUUGGCAAGGAAACUUUAUUUGAAUUGUGUGCAAGCCAUGUGCAACACAAGGUUAGCCUCUGCUGAAAUAUAAAGCCUAAAAUUAUUUUUGCAGUCCUCUGAGAUUAAUUAUAAAUAGUUCUACAGUAUAUACAAUUGAUUUCCUAAAUGUUAUUGAGACUAUUAUAUAUAGAUCAUAAAGAAAUGUUUUAAAAUGGUAGCAGAAAGUCUUGUUUCAUUUGAUAUGUAAUCUUAAUUUCAUUAUAAAUGAAACAUUAAGAAUUUUCUCAUAGAUUUGCCUUUUUGGAAAGAUGAACUUCUUACCAAAAUUUAUCAAUAUACCAAGCUCUCACUCUAUGUUUGGAAUUUAUUUUUUCAGAAAAAAGGAUAACGUUGUAUAAUGUUGAAUAUCAGUGGAAUAUAGUACUUAAGUAUUUCAUUAAUGGACCAUUCUUUUCUCCUAAGCACUUUAAUAAAGGCUUUGUCAAAUAUGUUGUUUACAAUG